AGCACCAUAGCCAAAGGCUGCCUCUAGCGGUCUCAGCUAGACUCCUGUCUGUGGCUUCCAGAAACAAAUCACUGUGGCCAAGACACGAGUGAGAUUUCUCCUGGCUGGGGUCUGGACCGCCUGCUCAUUUCCAGAGCAAGAGCCAAAGGUGAGGCCCAAGCCUUAUGGAGAAGUGUGGGUGAGAAAUGCUGCAGGCAGAAGCCAGCAGAGCACAUCUGGACAGGGCAGAAGCUCAUCAUGGCGAGGAGAACACAGAGCAGAGGAGCUAAGCCUGGCAAGAAGGUCCCUGCCUGGCAGAAGAGCAGGAAGCACCCACAAGCAUCCUUCAAAAAGGAGGCCAAGGGUGCCAGCCAGAGAUGAAGGGGAGAGAGAAGCUGGGGCUCCCUCAGAGGACUGACAAUGUGAUGCCCUCCGCAAGGAUCACCUUCCAUCUGUAGUGUUGGCGAACAAGUCAAGAGA